rnacentral:miRNA from 1 species
AACUUGUGAUGAGGUGAGACAG